rnacentral:pre_miRNA from 1 species
AAUCUUUAUGAGUGAUCUUUGCAAUAGUUUCCUUAUGGAAAUAUUGUGGUUUUUGGAAGGAGACUAUUGCGAAUGUCACUCAUUAAGAUU